GACGGAGGGUGCAAGCGUUGCUCGGAAUCACUGGGCGUAAAGGGUGCGUAGGCGGUCUCGCAAGUCUGGCGUGAAAGCCCAAGGCUCAGCCUUGGAAGUGCGCUCGAAACGGCGAGGCUGGAGUGCCGGAGGGGAGAGUGGAAUUCCCGGUGUAGCGGUGAAAUGCGUAGAGAUCGGGAGGAAUACCGGUGGCGAAGGCGGGUUGCUGGGCUGACACUGACGCUGAUGCGCGAAAGCUAGGGGAGCGAACGGG
rnacentral:rRNA from 1 species